UUCCUUUAAGGAAGUAAGAUCCCUGAGAGAUGAUCAGGUAGAUAGGCUGGAAGUGGAAGUACAGUGAUGUAUGGAGCGGACCAGUACUAAUCGAUCGAGGACUUAACCA
rnacentral:rRNA from 1 species